rnacentral:rRNA from 1 species
GACGAACGCUGGCGGCGUGCCUAAUACAUGCAAGUCGAACGCAGUGGGUACGGGUGAGUAACAUGUGUGUAACCUCCCAUAAGUGGGGAUAACAUUUGGAAACAGGUGCUAAACCGAUACGGAUGGCUGGACACGGGGUGCAUUAGCUAGUUGGGGGGGUAACGGCUCCCCAAGUCGACGAUUCAUAGCCGACCGGAGAGGGUGAUCGGCCACACUGGAACUGAGACACGGCCCAGACUCCUACGGGAGGCAGCAGUAGGGAAUCUUCGGCAAUGGACGAAAGCCUGAUCCAGCAACGCCGCGUGAGUGAAGAAGGUUUUCGGAUCGUAAAACUCUGUUGUUAGAGAAGCGUUAUCUAACCAGAAAGCCACGGCUAACUACGUGCCAGCAGCCGCGGUAAUUC